rnacentral:rRNA from 1 species
UUUUUGAAAAUAAUUUAAAGUCUAAUCUGCCCACUGAUAAAAUAUUAAAGGGCUGCAGUAUUUUGACUGUACAAAGGUAGCAUAAUCAAUAGUCUCUUAAUUGGUGACUUGUAUGAAAGAUUGGAUGAGAUAUAAACUGUCUCUAAUUGAUUUAUAAAAAUUAAUUUUUUAGUAAAAAAGCUAAAAUAAUUUUAAAAGACGAGAAGACCCUAUAGAGUUUAAUAUUUUAUUUAAUAAUUAUUAAUAUAUGUAAUUUUAAAAAUUAAAAUUAAAUGAAAUAUUUUGUUGGGGUGAUAAAAAAAUUAAAUUAACUUUUUUUGAUUGUAAACAUUAAUUUAUGAUUAAAUGAUCCAUUUAUAGUGAUUAAAAGAAAAAAUUACCUUAGGGAUAACAGCGUAAUUUUUUUUUUUAGUUCAAAUAGGAAAAAAAGUUUGCGACCUCGAUGUUGGAUUAAGAUAAAAUUUAAAUGCAAAAGUUUAAAAUUUUGAUC